UACGAAGGGGGGCUAGCGUUACUCGGAUUGACUGGGCGUAAAGGGCGCGUAGGCGGUUCGUACAGUCAGACGUGAAAUUCCUGGGCUCAACCUGGGGGGCUGCGUUUUGAUACGUGCGGGCUUGAGUUCGGAAGAGGGUCGUGGAAUUCCCAGUGUAGAGGUGAAAUUCGUAGAUAUCGGGUGGAACACCUGUGGCGAAGGCGGCCAUCUGGACGUUCACUGACGCUGAGACGCGAAAGCGUGGGUAGCAAACAGG
rnacentral:rRNA from 1 species